UUCUCUUGAUGUUGGUAAUUAUUGAUCGAUGAUGGUAUAGUGUGAAUUAAUGAUGAAUGACCUCCAAGGAGGCUGGAACAGGCUACAAAAGUCAAUCGCAGACAUACGGCUUAGGGUGUUUAUGUGGCUUGACUUUUUAAUUGAUCAUGAGUGGAUAAAAAAGAUACAUUUCAAGUCAGCUUGGGGGAAUCAUGUAUACAGUACUCAAGAUAUUCUCAGCGAAUAGUCAUUUGGUCGAUCUAAAAUGGGACAACACUGACCAAGACCAACGGAAUGAGUGUAUUGGAGUACACUAUUAAUGCUAAAUGUAAAGUUAUUUGGUCAAAAAUGGGACAAAACGUGGACCAACUGAAUAGUACUAUUGGUUCAUGGAAUAAUCUUCAAGGAAAAGUCAUUUGGUCAAACAUCGGACCAUACUUGGGGCAACUAAAUGGGUCUUUUUCAAUUAUUUACCAAGUUCAGCUACCGUCAGGAAAUUGUUAUGUGGACUAAAAUGGGACAACUCAACACUGAGACCAACUCAAUGCCGGGGUCUAUAGGUGUCCUCAAGACACCCUAAGGGGAUCACUUGGCUAAAAAUGGGGCAGCACUACAUUAGGGCAACUAAAAUGGUCUUUUCAUGGUCAGGGCUCAAGUUAAGUACCCUUAGGGUAUAGUUAGUAAUGUAGUCUGAACACAGUCUACAUGGGUUUAUUGGUACAAAGUGCUCAAGAGAAUUGUCAAUAAAUAUACUAAUGGGAGGAGAAGAAGCCAAGCUAAUUGGGUAUAUCGCUUAUGCAAAGGGCAAUCAAAUGGCCAUGCACGUCAUGAAAAACGGGGCACACUAAUCCAAACUGAAAUGGGACAACACUGAGUCAAGCUAAAUUGGUACUAUUUCCAAUGUAGUCUGCAAUAUAAUGGUCACUAGAACUACAAUGGAACAACGAUGAGCCAAGUUGAAUGAGUCUACUGCAGAUGUAGUAGUAUGCAAGAGAAUGGUUAGUUUAUAAGGUGACAACAAUGAGCCAAGUUAUAUGAGCCAGUCUAUUGCUAAUAGUGUAGUCUGCAACAGAAUGGUCAUUAGUUCUAUDAUGGAACGGCAACGAUGAGCCAAGCUCAACGAGUCCAUUGCUGAUAUGUGGCAGUCUGCAAGAGAAUGGUCACUAGAACUACAAUGCGGGAACAACGUUAACGAUGAGCCAAGUUGAAUAAGUCUACUGCAGAUGUAGUAGUCUGCAAGAGAAUGGUCACUAGUCUUACAAUAGGACAACAAUGAGCCAGGUUAAAUCGGAGUCUAUUGCWAAUGCAGUGCUUAAGAAAAUGUCUCAAAAGGACAUUGUCUCUCUAUACUCCCUUUAUGCUGUCACAUACACUAUGUACGUGUAAUCAUCAUUUUGGUAUGCCACUAUACCAACUUGUUUUGCUAUCAUGACCAUCAUUCCCUAUCAUCUUCUUAGACACUCAUUUCCUCAACUAACCAGACCAAGUCCGAGUUAUCCAAGCAAAUGCAAUUAAAAUAUUUUACAAAGAUUUCAAGAUAAGACAUAACUCCUCUCGUCUGUCAGCUCAAAUACAUUUUCAUUAACAGAACGUGAGCGUCUGGUAUAAUACUGCGUAGCCGGGUCAAAACAUUCCAAGUUAUCAUCUUAAAAUGAGACCCACUUUAGCCAGAACUAGUACCUUAAUAUUUUAGCCUACGGGCUGGUAAAGGUCACAGCAUUUUUCUCAGAGGAAGUAUUAGUCGUAUUUUAUUUAACGUCUAGUUUGUUGAAAGCGAUGCAGUCACCUUGACUUUGUUUUCACAAAUCAAUCAACUUGGCGUAAUAGGAUGACUAAUUUUUUUCCCGUUGAUUGGUCGAUUAGACUGAUCGGGUGGUCGGUCUGUCUGUCCACUUGCAUCAAGUCAUUGUAAGGGUCGCUCAGAUAGAAAGUAACUUCAAGCAGAGUAAGCCUUGCAUCCUGGACUCAUGGACGGUGAUAGAAUGUAAUGAAUUUAGCAAUUGUGCUUAAUAUGAUUCGUCCGUCCCAGCGGAGGCGCCAACUUCGCCGUUACUUUCCACAUAUGCACAGCGUAUGUCCCUCUUAGAAACCACAUUAGAGCCUCCAAUCCGUAGCAUGAUAUAUUUCUUCAAUACCAAGCUGUUUUUGCAAUCUCAUUAUAAACCAAUCAUGUCUUACUAUAAAAAGAUUUCCUCCCUGCAUGAAUGAGUGCUGAAAUAUUUCUUCGAACUUCACAGCAUGUUAGUAUCCAAAAUAUGCAUGUUUUGUCGGUAUUUUACAAUGACCUCUUAACAUGAACUCUGAAGUACUAACUUGGAGUAUACAAUGUCGGGGUUGUAAGCACUUAGACAUAGACCCUCCUAUUGGGUGGCUGUCCGAUGAUUACGAGGAAUUAUCUACUUAGACAAAAUGAAAAGCAAUAAACAGUCCAUAAGGAAUGGCUAAGAAGAUACAUUAA